GCCAAGGGACAGAGAAUUGCAACUAGAAAUUCAAUCGAUUGGUACGAGGGACCACGUGGUCAGGGGCUGGCCAAUGACCAGGCCGCCCGGGAUGAGCUAAUAAUGGAAGCAAUUUGUAACUUUCAGUGGUUCUCCAGGCCUGGGUACCGCAGGGAGGGAGGCCGGCGGGUGGAGGUGGGGAGAUGGGCACCCCUAGCCCUUCCGCCCGUCGUCUGGGGGCAUUGGAAUGCCGACCCCUCUUUGCCCUAAUGCGAGGGCACCUGCAGGAGCCGGGACGCGCUCGUGUCCGGCGGCUGCGGGAGAGCCAGGAGAAAGGAAAAAAUGUCGUCUAGUAUUUUUUCUUGCAUAACCUGCUUGCGCUUUGAGGGGAAGUGAAGUUCGGACGAAUUCACAGAGGUGAGUGGUACUUUGCUCUUGGGAGCUCUGCUGCUCGCGGGGAGGAGCAUCCCUCGCAGGCAGUUUCCCUGGACGCACCUUGCGUCGCCCAAGGUGUAAUUCUCUAAUCCCGUCCUGCACAUCUCCUUCCCCCACUCGUCCUGAGACUCCAGCGUUUUGGGUUUUUGUUUGUUUGUUUUUAACAAAGAAUCCCUGCACAGAUUUCAAGUUUUCCACUUUUCCCCUCCCUCACUAGUUUUUCAGCUGUUAACGAAUCUCCAGAAAUUUUUUUCUCUCUCUGUGGACCAGGGUUUUGUGGUUUUUUUUUUUCUUUCUUUCUUCUUCUUCUUCUUUUCACUGAAUCCUCUUUUUGUUUUGUAAAUGAAUUUAUUGUUUGGGAAACUCAACAGCCAGGCCAACAAAGUCUCUUUUGAUUAAUUCCAACUUCUGUUUCAAAGAACAAUCUGCUUGGAAUGCUUUCCUCAUUUUUAUUCCGUCUCAAUGUUGGUGUAUUCAGAGCAAUCUUGUUUUAAGUUUUUAUUGAUCAACUUCACCGUUUUGUGUAUUUCCUUAUUCUUCCCAGCCCCUAGGCACUGCUGCCUCUUCCACCUCAGAACUCCCAACUUGCGCAGGGCUCAGCCUCCUCCCUGCAGCCGAGGGGGACGCCGGGAAGCAGAGAGCUUCCUCCUGGGGCCAGACCCUACGCUCAGGUUCCAGCUCUGGGCGCCUCCAGUCGGGUCUCUCAGGCCAGCAACAGCAGGGAGAGCAGAGUUGCUGUCCAGUUGCUAAGUUUGGGACCAAGUGUGGUCCUCCCUGCUCCGUGCUAAGCAACUCUCCCACACACAAAGUUGGAUGUGAACUUCCCAUCUGUUCCCUAAAUCCUGAGAAAAUCGCAGGUGGAUCUUAUUUCUCCCCCAAGAGUGACCAGAGAGCCUGGUCAGCCUACUGGAUCCCUUCCCUUGUAGGGGUGGGCUUGUGGAAGAGAGGGUGCCUGUGCCACCCCACACCCCACCCUGCUGUGGCCAAGGCAGAGGUUGAGGGACCCCCUGUGGAUCUCCAGCUUUGAACAACGCAGCUUGAGGAGCUGGCCUGGGGACUCUCACUUCUGGUCAGUUGAGGUUUGGCUUAGUAGAGUUUGGAGUGCAUUUCGGCUUUGGGGAAGCGGGUCUUCAUGAAAGUGAUGUGGUAGGGUCUCCACCGAUUCCGAUCCAUCACAGCCACGCAAAAUAAAAUUAUAGGAGUAAUUCGUGUUUCCCCCUAAGAGCUGCCUCUGGGGACUUUGUUCUUUUCACGGAAACAGAACCCAAUCGGGCAGGAAGUAAAGCUGCUGCUGCUGCCCUCGGUCCCCAGCCCGCCAGCUGCACUGACACCGACACGCCGGGCACAUUCGGCCCAGCCCCCGUCUCUGCUCCUCCAAGUAUGAAUCUAAAUUACUAUUAAUAAGGGGCCCGCUCUGAGUUAAUUGGCAUUCAAAGAAUUCAUUUCAAUUUGUUAAUAUUAAAUGAAUGUUCUGCACUUUAGCUCCCCGCCUCGCCCCGGAUUCCCAGAUGAGUGAUGGGAAGAGCGGGUGGGGGAGUGAGGAGAGGCCUCACUCCCGCCUCUCGCCUCUUAGCCUGAGCACCGCCUCCCCAGAGGUGAGCGGCCAGGCACAGUGGGGGUCUGGCGGGGGAGUCCGCCAGGCCUUCUCUGGUGAAAUGCACGUCUUUGGUCUUCAGAGGGAGGUGAGGAGGAGGGCCGGGAGGAACAAUGGAAAGGUUUGGGGGGGCCGGGGAAAAGUUGGGGGAGAGCCAGAGAGGGAACAGCUUUGCAGAACCAGGGUCGGGAAGUGAGAGUAGAACAGGUUUGUGAAGAAAGGUGUUAGCAGCCCAAACACCCACCUGGGGGUGGGGUUACUGUCAUCUCUCUUUGGUAAAGAGUGGGGGGGGGCAGAGCAGAGGCAUCGCUUUCUAAAUGCCCUCCAUCAGCCCCUGGCACGUGACCUCACUCAGGAGGGUGGGGGAAGCCCGAGCCAAAGAGAUAAAGUGAGAAAUCAUACAGCCAGAAAGUGGCAGGCUUUGAUCUGCCUGACCUGGCAAAUUUGCACACCCUUCCAUGCGGUGUAGACCUGGGAUUGGGAUGGACGGACGAGAAGGGCCCCCGACUGCCCUGCAGCUGCAAGAUGGGGGUGUGAGUGGAUAAGAGGGGUGUGAAGAGGCCAAGUGUGAAACUUUCAGUCAGGGAAGACUUCCUGGAGGAGGAGACUACAGAUCAGGGUGCAGAUGUGUGUGUGUGUGUGGGGGGGUGAGGCUCUGAAGGAAAGAAGAGGAGGGAGAGGAGGAGGAGACACGUAAGGCCGAGUGAGGGCAGGCACUUGAAUUCCACUGGCCUUGGGCUUGUCUUGCUGGCACCAAGCACAAUUAGUUACCGUUUACUGAUGUGUCAGGUGCACCUGUUAUGUAAUGCUCACAGCAACCCGCACGAGGGGGCUCCUUAUUCCUGGUUCCAGCUCAGAGGGCUGAGGCCCCAUUUCCGGGCACAGGCGGAGUCGGGUUUGCUGGGCCCUGCCCUGCUCUCGCCCCCACCCCCAUCCCGUGCCUGCUGCGUCCACUGGGGAAGAGGAGUAGGAGCAAAUUCUCUCCAGGGGGGCUUCCGGGCCACUCUCAGGGGCACUGACCUUGGGUGAAUGACAGGGCAGGACUUUCUGGGCUGGGGGUCUCUCUUUCCCUUGCUCUGGGAAGAGGGGAGGAAGAGGAUGGCUCAGGCAUGGGAUCAAGACUGCUGUGUCCGCUGGCGCCCCCGCAGUGCUCAUGUACGAGGCCGGACCACCGCCAGCCACUCUGCUGCGCCCAUCACCUGGUGUGGCCAGAAGCCAGAGUGGGUGUCAUGAGCCUGGGGACACCGGGUGCGUUUUCCUGUCUGCGCUGUUUCCCGAGCUGGAUGGGUGUGCGUGGCGGAGGCCCCUGGGAUGGAAGAGAAACUGCGAGGAGAGGGAAGGCGACCCGUGGAGGAGCCCAGGUCUGUGGCAGACGCGGAGCAGGGCUGCCUGCCUGCGGGACUGCCCCUCCCAGACUCCCCGGUGAGAAAUAAACUCAGCUCUCCAUAUGCUGCGUGUCUGGGGGCCUUUUUGUCACAGCAGUUUUGCCUUCUCACACCGCAAGGACCACAUCCGCUGACGGGAUCCUUAGAGCAGCGGCAUGUAUGGAGCCGAUGUUAUUCAAAGACUCCCAGUGGAGGCCUCGUGACGCUCGGCACAGACACCUGUUCCUGUGGUUCCAACUCACAGAGCGAAACCUCGGGGGCCAGUGUUGUGGUGAAGUUGCUGCUGAGGACGCCCACAUCCGGUUCCGAAGCACCUGUUCUGGUCCUGGCUGCUCCACUUCCGAUCCAGCUCCCUGCGAAUGCGCCUGGGAAAGCAGGGGAAGAUGGUCCAAGUGCUCGGGCCCCUGCGCCCGCAUGGGAGACCCAGGUGGAGUCCCUGGCUCUGGCCUGGCCCAGCCUUGACUAUUGUGAUUAUUUUGGGAGUGAACCUGCUGAUAGAUCUCACUCCCUCGCUCUCCCUCUCUCCCUUUCAAGUAAAUAAAAUAAAUCUUAAAAAAGAAGAGUGCUUGCUUUGGCAGCACAUAUACUGAAAUUGGAACGCUGCAGAGAUUAGCUAGCCCCUGUGCGAGGGUGAGGCCCAAAUUCGUGAAGCAAUUCAUAUUUUUAUGUUCUUCAAGCUGUAUAUAUGAGACACACAAAAACUGCUCCCUUCAUAUAAAUUCAAAAAUUUAGUAAAAGAGAAGAAACCUCAGGCCAUUGGCAUCACCUUGCUUCCCACCCCCAGUCACCCUGCCCCGGCUGUGAGCAGGCAGCUGUGCCCCUGUGGACUUCCGGGCCUCUGCCUUGAGUGUCGUGGGGUCACAGUGCCCUCCCUGUUAGUACAGUGUCCCCAGGGCUCACCCGCAAGGUGGCAUUUAUCAUCCCUCUGUCGCCCUUAGGGUGAGCGACACUGCUGUCUGCAGGGUCCACAUUCUGUUUGUCUGCCCCUGAUGGACGCUCAGGCUGGUCCAGCCUUUUUGAUACAAUGAUCACACCUUCACGCUUGCGUCUCUGGGCAGCUUGGGUCACAGAGGCUGAGGCUUUGGCAAGGCUGGGUGUGUCUGUGUGGGAGCAGCGCUGACACGCAGAAAGCCGGGCCCCGGCACGGGGCUUCUGUGUUGGACUACGCUGGCAUCUCCCUCCCUCUGGGAACUCACUGAGCCGGGACUGUCCUCUGUCAAUUCUCUCUGUUUUAACAUUUUGAUAUUUUUAAUUAAAAAGUUUGCUUUUUGGAGAGGCAGAGAGAUGUGAGAGGGAAGGAGAGAGAGAGAGAGCGAGAGGCGAGAGAGAGCAAGCGAGCACCCCCAUCUGCUGGUUCACUCCCCAAAUGCCCGCAAGGGCUGGGGCUAAGCUGGAGCCUAGAGCAGGACCUGGGAAUUCAACCUGGGUGUCCCGUGCGGGUGCAGGGACCCAGCUCCCUGAGCCACCAUCCCCUGCCCCCACCCCCCGGCCUGCGUUAGUUGGAAGCUGGAGUCAACAGCUGGGGAGGGCUGCUGAGCCAGGCACCGGCUCUGGUGUGGGCUGUGUGUGUCUUGGCCCCUGGGCCAAAUGCCCGCUGUUCUGUUUUCAUCGUCACUGCUGUCUUGGUCCUGUG